UGCACAUCGCUGACGAGUGGCGGACGGGUGAGUAAUGCUUGGGAACUUGCCUUUGCGAGGGGGAUAACAGUUGGAAACGACUGCUAAUACCGCAUAAUGUCUACGGACCAAACGGGGCUUCGGCUCCGGCGCAAAGAGAGGCCCAAGUGAGAUUAGCUAGUUGGUAAGGUAACGGCUUACCAAGGCGACGAUCUCUAGCUGUUCUGAGAGGAAGAUCAGCCACACUGGGACUGAGACACGGCCCAGACUCCUACGGGAGGCAGCAGUGGGGAAUAUUGCACAAUGGGGGAAACCCUGAUGCAGCCAUGCCGCGUGUGUGAAGAAGGCCUUCGGGUUGUAAAGCACUUUCAGUUGUGAGGAAAAGUUAGUAGUUAAUACCUGCUAGCCGUGACGUUAACAACAGAAGAAGCACCGGCUAACUCCGUGCCAGCAGCCGCGGUAAUACGGAGGGUGCGAGCGUUAAUCGGAAUUACUGGGCGUAAAGCGCACGCAGGCGGUUUGUUAAGCUAGAUGUGAAAGCCCCGGGCUCAACCUGGGAUGGUCAUUUAGAACUGGCAGACUAGAGUCUUGGAGAGGGGAGUGGAAUUCCAGGUGUAGCGG
rnacentral:rRNA from 1 species